rnacentral:rRNA from 1 species
AGUGAACGCUGGCGGUAGGCCUAACACAUGCAAGUCGAACGGCAGCACAGUAAGAGCUUGCUCUUACGGGUGGCGAGUGGCGGACGGGUGAGGAAUACAUCGGAAUCUACUUUUUCGUGGGGGAUAACGUAGGGAAACUUACGCUAAUACCGCAUACGACCUACGGGUGAAAGCAGGGGAUCUUCGGACCUUGCGCGAUUGAAUGAGCCGAUGUCGGAUUAGCUAGUUGGCGGGUUAAAGGCCCACCAAGGCGACGAUCCGUAGCUGGUCUGAGAGGAUGAUGAGCAACAUGGGAACGGAGACACGGUCAAGACUCCUACGGGAGGAAGAAGUGGGGAAUAUUGGACAAUGGGCGAAAGCCUGAUCCAGACAGACCGCGUGGGUGAAGAAGGCCUUCGGGUUGUAAAGCCCUUUUGUUGGGAAAGAAAAGCAGCAGGUUAAUAACCCGCUGUUGUGACGGUACCCAAAGAAUAAGCACCGGCUAACUUCGUG